CCUACGGGAGGCAGCAGUGGGGAAUAUUGCGCAAUGGGCGAAAGCCUGACGCAGCGACGCCGCGUGAGGGAUGAAGGUCUUCGGAUCGUAAACCUCUGUCAGCAGGGAAGAACGGUCACUGUGCUAAUCAGCAGUGAAUUGACGGUACCUGCACAGUAAGCACCGGCUAACUCCUUGCCAGAAGCCGCGGUAAUACGGAGGGUGCGAGCGUUAAUCGGAAUUACUGGGCGUAAGGCGCUCGUAGGCGGUAUGUCAAGUCAAGUGUGAAAUCCCCGCGCUCAACGUGGGAACUGCGUUUGAAACUGGCAAACUAGAGUGAGUGAGAGGAUAGUGGAAUUCCAGGUGUAGGAGUGAAAUCCGUAGAUAUCGGGAGGAACAUCAGUGGCGAAGGCGAGUAUCUGGCACAUAACUGACGCUGAGGAGCGAAAGCGUGGGUAGCAAACGGGAUUAGAUACCCUAGUAGUC
rnacentral:rRNA from 1 species